rnacentral:rRNA from 1 species
UACGUAGGGGGCAAGCGUUGUCCGGAAUCAUUGGGCGUAAAGAGCGUGUAGGCGGCCAGAAAAGUCCGCUGUGAAAACUCGAGGCUCAACUUCGAGCUGUCGGUGGAAACUUUCUGGCUAGAGUCCGGAAGAGGAGAAUGGAAUUCCUGGUGUAGCGGUGAAAUGCGCAGAUAUCAGGAAGAACACCCGUGGCGAAGGCGGUUCUCUGGACGGUACUGACGCUGAGACGCGAAGCGUGGGAGCGAACAGG